UAGCACAUUGAUUGUAUUAGUUGUAUAGCUCGCUUUGGUGUUAGCCAGACCGAUUUUUGAAAAUAUUUUUUGGCUGGUUCACACAGGUUAUAGAAGUCAAAGUUUAAGACUGUACAGGAAGAGAUUUAUUCAUGCAUAAUUUCUAACUCUCGUCUUCUGAGGAUAAAUGGAACUUCUAUCUAGCCUCUAUCUUAAAAACUAUUAGACCUUAUCAACAUAGCAACAUGCAAAGUUUCAAUUGAAAUGUGGACAAGGUAUUUUAAGUAUUCAGGGGAACCUGUGACAUAUCUUACAUGUCUUUCCAUGUGAUUCACAUGACAAGUGCAGGCAAAUGUGCAGAUUAAUCAUUCUUAAAUUUUGAGAAGUAUUUUCCACUGCAGCUGGAUAAGGGUGCCGUGCCAUUGCUUUUUUCUGAUAGCCAUGUUCUCCCCCACUGCAACCAUCAGUGGGCAUAGUAGUACAAGGUUUGGUCUCCAUGGCAACACACGGGCACUUUCCUGACACAUAUUUGAAUUAAAAUUGACGAAAGCUCACUCACAUUUUUGGGCCAUCUCCCUAUAAAUUAUGCCCCCGUUGCAACACAUGGGCAAUUACCUAGUAGGAUACAAAGUACAUGUUCUUAUGUGUUGUUUCAAAUUUUAACAGUAGAGGUUGUCUUGUAGAGUAUCCGGUGAAGCUAUAUUGCAUUGAAGUUGUAUCCCAUAUAAUACCAGCGAUGAGAUCAUAAAUAAAUCCUCUCAUUAGGGAUGCAGUAACAGGACACUUUGGGUUGUAGAAUAGCAGGUGAAGAUAUAAUGCACUGAACUUAUAUGACAUAUAAUUAUUACAUCCAUCAAUAGGGAAACAUGGUGCGCUCUCUCGCGUAUGACACGUCGGAUUGUUUACUGUGCCGAUUGGAAACACUGUUUUCUUAUUGCGAGAAACACUCCCUUCACGAAAAUAGCGAUUGAGAAAAGAGGAAACUUCCUCACGAAGGCACUGAUUCCUGUUUCUCCCACGCCGCCUCGACGACCAUGGAGGCGACUCGGCGCUCCCACCAUCCAGAUCGAACCAACUGGGAGGAGUAGAACCACCACCGCCUUCUUGCUGCUCGUCUCCACUGCGCCUCGUCUGUGCUGCGUGGUGACCGAGAUGCGGCCUCCCCGUGCUGUCAGUUCCCAUGCACUCUCUCCCAAGCCUCUCUCUCGAUCUGAGAGGAAAUCAGCCUCUGACUCUGCCUCGACCACCUCCUCCCUCAUCUCAAUCACUUCUAGCCACAUAGAGGGACGACCCAAGGGGAAGUAGGGGUCAUCGCCGAAGAAGUCAGGGAGGAGCGUAUGCUAGCUAGGGAGGCGGCUCGGACCAGAUCGACCAUGGCGAUGGUAUCGCUGACUCCCUACUGGCCUUGCAGUUUUGCAAUUUAGGUAUCAAAUGAAUUAGGUAUUAUCAGCAUGAAUACUAUUUACACAGUUUGUUCUUUUGUUUAGUUUGACCGUCUUUGAAGUAAUUGACAUGUAUAGUGCUGCAAAAUGAAUCUGUAAUGUUUAAAUCGACUUUAAAAACCUGCCAGGUUGGAUAUAUCUUUGUCGGAUAUUUUUAUACCAUUGUUUUUCUUCUGUUCAUUUGUUGGGUUGGGCCAAGAUCAGUGGGUAUUUGUCUUGCUACCGACUGUAGAUGUGAUCACUAGUUCUCAUUGACUGUAGUUGUAGUUUUAGAAGUAGGAUGGCUAGCAGUCAUCAUAUAUUGGCUAAGUUGCAUUUGUGUUGGGUACAACAAGAUGAAGAGCAAGAGAAUCGCGAUGAAAAGCAUCAUGCUGAUUCUGAUGUGGAAAUAGAUGAUGCCAAGCCUUUGGAGGAAUCUGAAAGGAGAAGCAAUACUCAGAGUGCGAGAGUUAAGCAGUAUUGGAUAGAUCACAUUUCAGGGAUAACAUGGAUUUAUUUUGCUCUUCCUACUUUUGUUAGAUAGGCCACAUUAUUUUUCUUUCACUCAUGCCUUUGUUGGUGACGGUGCUGUUGUGUAAAUUCAACAUUGAUGUUUAGUGGUAUGACAUGGUUUACACAAGCUGAAAUUUUGAUCCCUUGGGAUGUUGCAGGUGCUGACAAUCUAAUGCCAACGGAACUGGCCCUUAAAAUUGCAACCAAGAUGAGUUACUUGCUGAGAUUCAGAAAUUAGUUCCCUUCCUGCAAGUUCUUCCAUUUUGUAACCCGACUUUUAAACCAAGAGUUUGGUAAUGCAAGAAGACGCAUGUCUUCAAUAGUGGACGUAAUGCACCAAAGGAAAUACAGUAUAUAAUGUUUGGAUUGACAGGUGGCGAACAGGUUCACACGGCACCGGCUGAACCACCGAUCCAUGACGGCCUCCGCGUUUGCAUGCCUGCUAGCCGCCGAGGUGGAGGACCAUGCAGAAGCUGGUGAGUUUGAUGAACCAGCAGCCGAAGGCGCAUUCAUCAUAUGGAAUGUUUCAAUACUUUGUUAAGGUUGUUCCCACUGUAUUCUCAUUCCUCUCCAAUUAUGGGCCCGUUCUGCAAUGCUCCAGCUCCAAGCUUCCUCAACUUCACAAAUGAAGCUGAGGCGAACGCUCUGGCUCCUGGAAGCUGGAAUUGAGAAGCUAGCGAUCUGUCUUAGUGUAAAAAAGGAGAAGAUGGGGAAGCAGCUCUUUUCCAGAUCCGUGAAAGGAAGAAGUUGGAGUUGAGGGCAAAUUACGCUGGGUUGCCACCGCCAAGUGACUCUCAGCGUACUAGUUCAAGUUUCUUUGCCGAACUCCCUCUCGCAUGCGUUGGCAAUUUGUAUUGGGCCCCAACCUGGCCUGCCAAUCCCGUCAAAUGGGCUGGCAGCCUCGUGCGUAUCGACCGAAAGCGGAAGCUGAGUUGCCGAACGCUUUCCAAGUCGCCACCAGAAGCGAGAAGUCGUGCGAGAAGCUGAAUUUAGGAAGUUUUGGAGAAGCUAGGCCUGUUUCAGAACAGGCCCUAUGUUGUGGCUGUCCCUUGUGUGCACAAGCAUACCCAUGUGUGUAGACGAACAUAUAUUUGUGUGAUUUGAACAAUUUUCAAGAUGUUAUUUUAUGAUAUAACAUUUCAGAAGUAAUGAGAGUGUUUGGUUCGCUCUU